rfam:Pseudomonas aeruginosa PAO1, complete genome.
ACUUGUCUGCCGUUCGAACAAUAAGAACGAACUCUACGUAAUGCCGGGAUACCCGUGGCAGCGAUAGCUGUUUGCCUGUUCGAAAAUUUUUGGGAGGUGUGAAAUGCGGC